UACGUAGGGUGCAAGCGUUGUCCGGAAUUAUUGGGCGUAAAGGGCUCGUAGGCGGUUUGUCGCGUCGGGAGUGAAAACUCAGGGCUCAACCCUGAGCGUGCUUCCGAUACGGGCAGACUAGAGGUAUGCAGGGGAGAACGGAAUUCCUGGUGUAGCGGUGGAAUGCGCAGAUAUCAGGAGGAACACCGGUGGCGAAGGCGGUUCUCUGGGCAUGACCUGACGCUGAGGAGCGAAAGCAUGGGGAGCGAACAGG
rnacentral:rRNA from 1 species